rnacentral:lncRNA from 1 species
ACAUGCACACUCGAGUCCUUUCUUUCCCCCUAGUCCCCUGAGAAGGAAGGAACACACACACACACACACACACACACACACACACGGCGUUCCUUUGAGAAAGCAACGGAGAACCCAGGAAAAGCCAAAGAAACAUUGAGAGCCUGGGGGUAGGGGCCCGAGAGAGAGAGAUAGGGUCGUCGAGUCUACGCGGAAUUGUAUAAUUCCAGCAUGGAGAGGGGUAACUGAAGCUUCAUCCAUGGACCUGAUUUCUCCUCAUCUCUGACUCUUUAGUAAUCCUUGAACUUGCAUCUAGUCAGAAAGCAAAGACAGAACAGUCAAUAGGAGGAAAAGCUGUCCCUUCCCUUUAGAAAAUAAUAAGGGGAAAAAAAACCACAACGAUGUCAGACAUGAUCAAUCUCACCAGAGGGGUAAGUACACAAACAGCCUCCUUCUGAAACCUACAAGAAAAUUGUUGUUAGGAAGAAUUUUUCUUGGAGGAAAGGAAAACAAUAGUUCUCUGCAA